GGUCCGAUGGUGUAGUUGGUUAUCACGUCAGUCUAACAAAUAGUUGGACACUGAAGGUCUCCAGUUCAAGCCUGGAUCGGAUCA